rnacentral:rRNA from 1 species
CAAGAAAUUAAGGGUUUAUGGGGAAUACCUUGGCAUUCAGAAGCGAAGAAGGACGUGGUUACCGACGAAACGCUUCGGGGAGCUGGAAACAAGCUACGAUCCGGAGGUGUCCGAAUAAGGCAACUUAAUUACUACUUAUUGAAUAUAUAGAUAAGUAAGAGCGAACCUAGAGAACUGAAACAUCUUAUGUAACUAGAGGAAAAGAAAGUAAAAACGAUUUCCUUAGUAGCGGCGAGCGAACCGGAAACAGCCUAAACUUAUUUUUAAGGGUAGUGGGACAGUCAUAACGAGAUUAGUGACGAUUAGAAGAAUGAAUUGGAAAAUUCAACCAUAGAGAGUGAUAGUCUCGUAUUCGAAAAUUGAAACACUCAGAUUGUAUCCCGAGUAGCAUGGAGCACGUGAAAUUCCGUGUGAAUCUGCGAGGACCACCUCGUAAGGCUAAAUAUUCCUGAAUGACCGAUAGUGAAAUAGUACCGUGAGGGAAAGGUGAAAAGCACCCCGACGAGGGGAGUGAAAUAGACCUGAAACCGGACACCUACAAACAGAUGGAGCCCAAGAUACGUUCUGGGUGACAUCGUACCUUUUGUAUUAUGGGCCAGCGACUUAAUUUAACGAGCAAGCUUAAGCCGAUAGGCGAAGGCGCAGCGAAAGCGAGUCUGAAUAGGGCGUCAAGUUCGUUGUAUUAGACCCGAAACCUAGUGAUCUAGCCAUGAGCAGGUUGAAGGUGAGGUAACACUCACUGGAGGACCGAACGGGUGCCUGUUGAAAAAGGCUCCGAUGACUUGUGGUUAGGGGUGAAAGGCCAAUCAAACUGGGAAAUAGCUGGUUCUCCGCGAA